rnacentral:rRNA from 1 species
UACGGAGGGUGCAAGCGUUAUCCGGAUUCACUGGGUUUAAAGGGUGCGUAGGUGGGUCUGUAAGUCAGUGGUGAAAUCUCCAAGCUUAACUUGGAAACUGCCGUUGAUACUAUAGAUCUUGAAUGUUGUGGAGGUGAGCGGAAUAUGUCAUGUAGCGGUGAAAUGCUUAGAUAUGACAUAGAACACCAAUUGCGAAGGCAGCUCACUACACAAAGAUUGACACUGAGGCACGAAAGCGUGGGGAGCAAACAGG